rnacentral:rRNA from 1 species
GAUGAACGCUGGCGGCGUGCCUAAUACAUGCAAGUCGAGCGGUAACACUUCGGGUGACGAGCGGCGGACGGCUGAGUAACGCGUAGGAAUGUACCCCAGAGUGAGGGAUAAGCACCGGAAACGGUGUCUAAUACCGCAUAACCUCUUCGGAGAAAAGCUUCGGCGCUUUGGGAACGGCCUGCGUAUGAUUAGCUUGUUGGUGAGGUAAAAGCUCACCAAGGCUAUGAUCAUUAGCUGGUCUGAGAGGAUGAUCAGCCAGACUGGGACUGAGACACGGCCCAGACUCCUACGGGAGGCAGCAGUAGGGAAUUUUUCACAAUGGACGAAAGUUUGAUGGAGCAACGCCGCGUGCAGGAUGAAGGCCUUCGGGUUGUAAACUGCUUUUAUCUGUGAAGAUUAUGACGGUAGCAGAUGAAUAAGGAUCGGCUAACUCCGUGCCAGCCGCCGCCGUAA